GCGGGUGUGGUGUACGGUACACCGCUGAUUUAAUUUGUAGGUUUCGAAGAUAUUCCAGCAGCAGAACCGGGUUCGACUCCCGGCGCCCGCA